rnacentral:rRNA from 1 species
GCGAAGAACCUUACCAAGUCUUGACAUCCCUGUGAAAGGCUGAGUAAUGUCGGCCCCUCCUUCGGGACACAGGAGACAGGUGGUGCAUGGUUGUCGUCAGCUCGUGUCGUGAGAUGUUGGGUUAAGUCCCGCAACGAGCGCAACCCUUGUCCUUAGUAGCCAGCGGUCCGGCCGGGCACUCUAGAGAGACUGCCGGGGAUAACCCGGAGGAAGGUGGGGAUGACGUCAAAUCAUCAUGCCCCUUAUGAUUUGGGCUACACACGUGCUACAAUGGCGUAAACAAAGGGAAGCAGAGUCGUGAGGCCGAGCAAAUCCCAAAAAUAACGUCUCAGUUCGGAUUGUAGUCUGCAACUCGACUACAUGAAGCUGGAAUCGCUAGUAAUCGCAGGUCAGCAUACUGCGGUGAAUACGUUCCCGGGUCUUGUACACACCGA